rnacentral:tRNA from 1 species
UAGCUCAAUGGUAGAGCACUUGCCUAGCAUGAGCAAGGUCCUGGGUUCAAUUCCCAG